GAGGGUAUACCUCAGUGGUAGAGCACAUGCUUAGCAUGCACAAGGUCCUGGGUUCAAUCCCCAGUCCCUCCA
rnacentral:tRNA from 1 species